GCAUUUUCUUAUAGUUCUUAUGGUUCUCCCCAGAACUAUAAAGUGUUCUUUUUUAUAGGCCUCGGAUUUGUCAUUUUUAAAUGAGAUGGGAUAGAGUGAUCUCUAAGGCCAUUUGCAGUUCCUAUGGUCUAUGACCAUGAUGAUUUUACAAGUGUAGAGAAGGCAUGUGAAGUACUUGAUCUGAAACAUGCUAAUGCAGAUAAGUGUUAUGCUAACACUGCUCAUUUAAGAUGCAUGGUGUUAUCCACAUUGCUGAACAAUCACUCUGUUGCUUUGGGGAGAAAAGGAUAGAAUAAGUACCCCAUUGCUUGAGUCAAGCUGGAUGAACCAUUAUCUAGAAGCAAAUGAUUGGAGCCUGGAGGCAGGCCAAGGAACAAGUCCCAAGACUCCCUCUGCCCAAAGCUCCUGGCCUGUGUUGGGCCCCUGAGCACGGAGUCCUCCCUGGCAGAAGGAUGCCUCCUCACCCUCUUCCUGAGGGCUGCCACCAUUCCAGUCAUAGCUCCUUGGAGUCACCAACAAACAUACCUUCUCCUUCUCCUGAUUAUUUUACAUGGAAUCUCACCUGGAUAAUGAAAGACUCCUUCCCUUUCCUGUCUCAUCGCAGCCGAUAUGGUCUGGAGUGCAGCUUUGACUUCCCCUGUGAGCUGGAAUAUUCCCCUCCACUGCAUGACCUCAGGAACCAGAGCUGGUCCUGGCGCCGUGUUCCCUCUGAGGAGGCCUCCCAGAUGGACUUGCUGGAUGGGCCUGAGGCAGAGCGUUCUAAGGAGAUGCCCAGAGAGGAGCCAAAUAGGUGAGAGUCGAGUCUGAGACAGGAGAGAAACUACAGAACGCAGCUCAGGAUGAGAAGGACCCAGUGAAAAAGGAAGCUGAAAGGGAGGAGGAGAUUUAAUACCCCUGAGAAGGAAUUUAUGCAGACCCAGAUUUGAAGUCAGCCUCUGAUUAUCUACUAUUUAUAUAUUUUAAAGAAAUAUGCACAAAAUUUUAGUGCUUCCUUUUUUGUUUGUCUCCAAUAUAUGCAUGAGCCAGCACAAUUCAGGACUUGAUUUACCUUUGCUGAUUCGGCUUCUUUUCUCUGAGCUUAUUUAUGGCUGUGAGAGAGGCAUUCUGUCCUUGCUGAUAAAGGACAACGGAAUUGCAUUCGAAGCUCAGCCACUGAGUUGCUCUGCUUCUGCUGGAAAGUUGGUUUCUUCUCCAACUGCCAAGUUUUCCUGAACUGUAGGAAAUAAGGUGCAUAUCUGAAAGGCAGAGUCCUAGACUAGAACUUCUCAAAUUUUAAUGUUCCUCCAAAUCUUCCAGGAUUCUUGUUGAAAGAGC
rnacentral:lncRNA from 1 species